UCUGUCGAUUAUCCCUCCCUGAGUCCGAAACAAAAGUCAAUGAACCUGAAGACAAAGGGAAAGGUCUCCAUGAAAACCUCUAUCACGCCAACCAUAAAGAAAGCAGCCUUCAUCGAGCGCAGACAAUCCUCACCGGCAUGGUCAUAGGGCUCAAUGCAAGUGAAGUUUCUGUCCAGUGGGUGAAGAAUGCCCUCCUUGAAGGUCACCAUGUGAAUCCCCGAGUCUUGAAGGGCAGCAUCAAGGAUUCCCUCUUGGCCUUCAGCCAGGUGGUAGUCCCCUACUCUGACUGGAACAACGGCACUUCAUACUCCUGUAUGUUUACCCGCACAGCAGGCACCGUGGAGCCCACCCAGAGGCCUGAGGAAAAAUCCCAGGGUGAAAAGUGAUGCAAACCCCUUUCUCAACCUAUCCCAAUUUUCCCUCCCCAGCCUAUUCCAGAUUCAAUAAUUUCCAUGUAUCCAUGUUUGGCCUAAGGCUAAAUAAAAGUGAGCAAACUC